rnacentral:rRNA from 1 species
ACGUAGUUAGCCGGGACUUAUUCCUGAGGUACCGUCCUUUCUCUUCCCCCAGAAAAGGGUUUUACGACCCGAAAGCCUUCAUCACCCACGCGACGUUGCUGCGUCAGGGUUUCCCCCAUUGCGCAAUAUCCCU